GAGUUUGAUCGUGGCUCAGAACGAACGCUGGCGGCAGGCUUAACACAUGCAAGUCGAGCGCCGUAGCAAUACGGAGCGGCAGACGGGUGAGUAACACGUGGGAACGUGCCCAAAGGUACGGAACAACUCCGGGAAACUGGAGCUAAUACCGUAUGUGCCCGAAAGGGGAAAGAUUUAUCGCCUUUGGAUCGGCCCGCGUCUGAUUAGCUAGUUGGUGGGGUAAUGGCCCACCAAGGCGACGAUCAGUAGCUGGUCUGAGAGGAUGGCCAGCCACACUGGGACUGAGACACGGCCCAGACUCCUACGGGAGGCAGCAGUGGGGAAUAUUGGACAAUGGGCGUAAGCCUGAUCCAGCCAUGCCGCGUGAGUGAUGAAGGCCUUAGGGUUGUAAAGCUCUUUCGCCAGGGACGAUAAUGACGGUACCUGGAUAAGAAGCCCCGGCUAACUUCGUGCCAGCCGCCGCCGU
rnacentral:rRNA from 1 species